UAUCUCUGUAGAGUCUGCAUAUCAAUAAGCGGAGGAAAAGAAACUAACAAGGAUUCCCUUAGUAACGGCGAGUGAAGCGGGAAGAGCUCAAAUUUGAAAUCUUCAAGGUUCUACCUUGACGAAUUGUAGUUUAAAGAAGUGUUUUCUGUUAGAUGAGUAGCAAAAGUUCCUUGGAAUGGGACAUCAUAGAGGGUGAGAAUCCCGUAUUUGGUUAUUCAUUCUAGCUUUGUGAUACACUUUCAAAGAGUCGGAUUGUUUGGGAAUGCAGUCCAAAAUGGGUGGUAAAUUUCAUCUAAAGCUAAAUAUUGGCGAGAGACCGAUAGCGAACAAGUACCGUGAGGGAAAGAUGAAAAGAACUUUGAAAAGAGAGUUAAACAGUACGUGAAAUUGUCAAAAGGGAAGCGUUUGACACCAGUGUUGUUUUUCCGAAAAUCAAUUACGAAUGGCUUGAUUUGGUGUUGUAUUGACCUUAUCAGCUUUCUUCACUUUUUUCGAGUCUUUCUUAAUGCACUUUUCGGUUAACAAGUCAACAUCAAUUUCUUUUGUUGUAAAAGAGUAUUCGGAAGGUGGCUUUCUUUUCGGAGAAAGUGUUUAUAGCCCUAUACUUCUACAAUCGGAGAGAUUGAGGUCUGCAGCGUAGAUCCUUCGGGGUUAGAUACACUUUGUGCUAAGUUGUAGCUUUUCAUAGACAACUUGUUGACUAUGUUUAGUCAUGCGGCUUACUCGCUUGUGCUAUUUUACCUACGCUUAGGAUGUUGACUGAUAUGUAGUCGUA
rnacentral:rRNA from 1 species